ensembl:lncRNA
ACCCGACAUCAGUGUAGUUUAAAGAGAAGAAGAAGUAUGUCAAGUUCUUUCCGAAGGUAAGUUCCUACAGUAGUAUUGUCGUUGCCAAGAGGAGACCAACAGGGAAGUCAACUGGUACUGCCUGCCCUCUCCUGAUAAGUGAGUUAAAUCCACGCAUAACCUUGGCUGUUUCCCCAGCUUCGAAUUAUUUGAAGUUUAUGUUGCAUACGUGAAGUUACAAAACUUUACAUAUUUUAAAACGGCAAACAGCAAACAACUUUCUAAGUGAUUACUAAGUUGCAUCUGCGACAACCAAUGAAAGCUUAACUUCGCUGACGGGUGAGAUGCGGCAAUAGUGGACUUCUAGAGACUGACAGCAAUAUCAACCACUUGGGUUUGUCAUAGACUAUAUUGUGCAAGUCUGAAAGUAAGACAUUUGCUCGUCCAUACUUUCUGUUUCUAAUUGUGCAGCAAAACACGUUUUUUAAAAAACAAAACAAAGGCAGUGGCUUAUUUUGUAACUGUGAAUCUCUUCCUGUGUAAAUGCCCCAUUUCUUUCGUGUAGCCAAUACUUAGUAGAGUUUGUACCUUCCCAAUGCAAGGAAAUCUUGAUAAAAUAUUUGUCUCUAUUAGUUUAGACUGUUCUAUUUUUAGACAUCAAAGAAAAGAGACGGAGCAUUUGGUUUGAGUGAGCAACUACUUCCUUGUGACUAAAGGGCGAUGUCAACAACUGCGAUUAUUUUUCUUACUUAUGACGCUUACUGACAGAAUGAACGUCCGUGCUGCAAGGCUAUCGGUUAUGUCAGAUGUUGGGUGCUGUGUGCAUGCGGAUGCAUUCUUGGCCUCUUUCAUCAGGUUCAGUUUCCACUAGCUUGGCUUUCGUGAGCUGUGUUUACCGAAGCAUCAUUUACUUUUAAGGCAGUGAGAGAAUGCAUGUGCACUCCAACAGCUGCAGCACUGUCCUAUAGCAACUGCGUAGGCUACGAUGCAGCAAGAUUAUUUGAAUAGCCAGUACAGUUAGGUUUGGCUUGUUAUUGGUUGCAUAGGUCGGAAUAUGUGAUAAUUAGCUACUUCUGUGGAUCAAUCGAUUGUUAAAUAUAAUUAUUAACAAUUUCGUUAAUGAUUUAUCUGACGGGUAUUUUUUUACGAUUCGUUUACGUCACUGUAUCGAUUUUACAGUUCCCACAGCACCACAGGAACCCACACCACCCCCCAUCAACGUAUUGCAGCCACAAUCUUGGAGGAUCUCUGAGAUGGGAUAUUAUUACUGGUGUAGGGUCUUAAGCAGUUGUACAAAUGUAUUUAUGAGUUUGUUCGUCGUGAUUAGUGUUCCUUGACCCAGGGUUGCCAAAGCAUGGUUUCCUAUCUCUUCCAAUCCACCCGUCAACACCCCCCAGCAGAGAUGAGUUAUCUGUUGGGGAAAUAAAGACUCUUGGGCAGUGGCCUGGCCCCCUCAAAGAGCCAAGGGCUAUUUCUGGUACCUGACAGAGAGAGAGAGGGAGAGGGGGGGGGACGUAGUAUAGGAGGAGAUGAGAGUGUAAGUGAGAGAGUGUGUGUGCGAGAGAGAGUGUGUGUCUGUGACUGUGUGUGUGUGUGAGUGAGAGAGUGAGUGUGAGUAAGAGAGUGUGUGUGAGUGAGUGAGUCUGUGUGAGUGAGUGAGUGAGUGUGAGUAAGAGAGUGUGUGUGAGUGAGUGAGUCAGUCAGUCUGUGUGAGUGUGUGAGUAAGAGAGUGUGUGUGUGUGAGUGAGUGAGUGAGUGAGUGAGUGAGUCUGUGUGAGAGAGUGAGUGUGAGUAAGAGAUUGUGUGUGAGUGAGUGAGACAGUGUGUGUGAGUGAGUGAGUGAGUGUGAGUAAGAGAGUAUGUGUGAGUGAGUGUGAGUAAGAGAGUGUGAGUAAGAGAGUGUGAGUGAGUCUGUGUGAGUGAGUGAGUGAGUGAGUGAGUGUGUGUGAGUAAGAGAGUGUGUGUGAGUUAAUUAUGCCCUUUGUUGUUUGGGAAGUGUGUGGCUGCAUUGCUGUGGGUGUCUGUGGUGAGGGGAGUGUUUUUUAUCAACUUCCAGUUUAAGUGUCUCUCUCUUUUUUUUCUUUUUCAGUUUUAGUCUCUUUUUAAAAAUGGGAGGAAGGGCUAGUUCCCUGUAUAGUAUUCGCUUUCGAUGCUUGCUGCUGGAAUGCAACUACACAUUCAUGCCGAUCCUAAGUUUCAUUAGCCUCCAUGACCUUCUAACAACCUUAAGUGCUGCCCACAGCAGUUAUGUCUGUAUGGGGGCUGAAAUGUGAGCUCAGGUAUCGUUUGCUUGGCUGUGUUGUUUUCCCCUUUACUUUGCUGCUUGUUGGGCAGUGGGUGAAGGGGACUUGGAAGAGCUUGCUGUCAAGUUUUGACAGGAUUGCUCUGAAGACUGCAAGUUUAUUUAAGACACUGGGAUGGUUAGAGGUAUGAAAGGCUUUCAUGUUAGGCAUGACUGAUAUUGUCAGUCUACUUUUUAAAAUAUUUUUUUCCCAGCGCUUAGAAACAAAUCUUUACUACGUGUAGUCGUGCUGUUGCAUUACAUCCCGUCUGUAUUUUCAACUCAUCAGAUAAGCACGCAUAGGGUUCCAAAAAAUGCCGUUUCCACAGAAGACAGAUCGUGGAAAUUUAGAUUUCAUGAGAAAUUAAAAUCUGCCUUGAGAAACCUCACUGAAGGGUCAUUAUUGGGAUGCUGGAUUUAUUCAGUCUUAAAGUAACACUAUGGAGUUUCUGGAUCCGCCAGGUAGGGGGCUACUUUCUGCUGGACUAUUCAGUAACGUAUUUGCUGUCUUGCUUUGUCUUAUUGGAUUGGAGUACAUUUAUCGUCAUUGCACAGAGUACAAGUACAGAGGCAACGAAAUGUGUUAUGGUGCACUUGCUUGAUAUUUGACUGUGUUAGGAAAGUUGUUGACAAGCUAGCCAACAUAGCUAUCACAAUAACAUUACAAAGAAGCUGACGCGAGAGCACUUAUUACUAGCAUCAAUGUACAAGCGUGUUUUAACAAGCUUGCUAACAUCACUAACGAGAUGUCUUGCUAGCGGCUAAACUUAACGAAACCUGUUGAAAUUUGCUUAC